UUUCCGUAGGUGAACCUGCGGAAGGAUCAUUAACGAGUUAGGGUCUUUCAGGCCCGACCUCCCAACCCUAUGUUUAUUGAACCUCUGUUGCUUCGGCGGACCCGUCUCACGACCGCCGGAGGACCGCCGAGAGCCAACCACUUAACACUCUGAAUAAAUCAUGUCAUUAUGUCUAAGUCUAUGAUUAAAUUAAAGCAAAACUUUCAACAACGGAUCUCUUGGUUCUG
rnacentral:misc_RNA from 1 species